rnacentral:lncRNA from 1 species
UAGAACGAACUAUGUUUUGUUUCUCUUUCGGUACCUGUAUACUUUUCCUCAAAGUGUAAAAUAACACGGCUGUGCCGCAGGCAGCGUAGACACGGGGGUGCCCCGGAGCUCAGCGCAUCCGCAGCCAUCCCAGGAAGCUCCUGGGGAACCACCCAGCGAGCCCCUUCUUGUGUCACCUGCCGGUUAAACGAGCCAAGAGGCGCACGCGGCAAAGGAGUUGGUGUAUGAUGGCGAGCCGCGUUCGUUAACCAAGGCUCACCCGGAGAUAGACCAAUAUCCAGUCUAUUCAGCUUACGUUAUUCAUAAAAUAGCGCAUUCCCACAAUCCGGGAUUGGCCAUGCAAAUCCACCUCCAGACCAAUCUCUCCCGUGCCCUCUGAACAGUUGAACGGAUUUCAGUGGCCCACACCAGACAGGAAAUAGCUACGGUUUCCUGUUUGGCUCAGGGUAGGGCCAACAUCUGCUUCCUCCUGUUUCCAGGCACCUGCCUCAAUCAUCCUUUUAUUAAAAUGCUUUCGUGUCUAACUAAUUCUCCUCUGUUUACUGUCCCCUUUCUUCUAUCGCGACUGGCGGGCAUGCAGAUGGGCCAUCUAGCGCCACCUGCCAGAGGGCCCGGUACAGAAAUGCUACAUCCGUGUUCCACGGAAACCCACUUCAUUGUUCAUCACUUCAUUUUGAUUUUGUGACGACACCGGCAAAAGUUGUGUGUUUACGCUCUUGGAGGCUUUCCGAACAGGAUGUUUCUCAGUGAAAAAGUCAUGCAUCGGGGGCAAGUCUGACAUCAGGCGUUUCUUUCACGGAUCGUGCCUUUGGCGUUGGAUCUCAGGCACUCUUUGACUUGUUCUAGAUCCUGAAGGUUUUCUUCCAUAUUUUCUCUAAAAUUUUAUAGCUUCAUAUUUUACAUUUCAGUCCGUGGUCCAUUUGCAGGGUUUUUCUUUUUUGUUAUUUUGUCGUCUUGUUUUGUUUUGUUUUGUUUUUGUAUAAAAUGUGAGAAUAAAGUUGAGUUUCUUUUUUCUUUUCUUUCUUUU